rnacentral:rRNA from 1 species
CCUACGGGUGGCAGCAGUGAGGAAUAUUGGUCAAUGGUCGGGAGACUGAACCAGCCAAGCCGCGUGAGGGAUGAAGGUACAGAGUAUCGUAAACCUCUUUUGUCAGGGAACAAAGGCGGGGACGUGUCCCCGGAUGAGUGUACCUGAAGAAAAAGCAUCGGCUAACUCCGUGCCAGCAGCCGCGGUAAUACGGAGGAUGCGAGCGUUAUCCGGAUUUAUUGGGUUUAAAGGGUGCGCAGGCGGUCUGUUAAGUCAGCGGUAAAAGCCCGGGGCUCAACCCCGGCACGCCGUUGAAACUGGCAGUCUCGAGUUGGAGAGAAGUAUGCGGAAGGCGCGGUGUAGCGGUGAAAUGCAUAGAUAUCGCGCAGAACUCCGAUUGCGAAGGCAGCAUGCCGGCUCCACACUGACGCUGAGGCACGAAAGCGUGGGGAUCGAACAGGAUUAGAUACCCGAGUAGUC